CCGCACCAUCGAAUGCAAAUACAGCUGAUGGAUAAAUGGUAAGAACAGGCAAGGUAUGAGAAGAGACCUCCUUAAAUGGCAGGAAAAGAACAAUAUUGAAAGAGAGCAAGAGUACCCCUUUAAAAGUAAACAUGUAAAAGCCUAUUACCGUGUCUGGCAAAUAUUUUCGAUGUCCUAGAACACAGAAGAAAUAUAAUUGGCUUGUGACAGGAGAAUUAUGCAGUAAGAUCGGAAAUCGUUACUACAGCUUUACUACCAGAAAAGGCCUCUGGAUUCAUACUAUUCCCUUCCUUACGAGACAGACAUCCGUAUGAUCCCUGGGCAUCUUGUCAGAACUGUGAUCCCUCGCUUAUGGAAAUCAACAACACCCCCUCUAUAUCGUCAUGGCUUCAUGAGGUAUUGCACCUGUAUAGGAUGGAGGAGCUGCUGGCUGACUCUCGGAGCCAACUGGAUACAUUUUCG